UAGGGAAUCUUCCGCAAUGGACGCAAGUCUGACGGAGCAACGCCGCGUGAGUGAAGAAGGAUUUCGGUUCGUAAAACUCUGUUGUUAGAGAAGAACAGCGCAUAGAGUAACUGUUAUGCGUGUGACGGUAUCUAACCAGAAAGCCACGGCUAACUACGUGCCAGCAGCCGCGGUAAUACGUAGGGGGCUAGCGUUGUCCGGAAUCACUGGGCGUAAAGGGUUCGCAGGCGGAAAAGCAAGUCAGGUGUAAAAGGCAGUAGCUUAACUACUGUAAGCAUUUGAAACUGCAUAUCUUGAGAAGAGUAGAGGUAAGUGGAAUUUUUAGUGUAGCGGUGAAAUGCGUAGAUAUUAAAAAGAAUACCGGUGGCGAAGGCGACUUACUGGGCUCAUUCUGACGCUGAGGAACGAAAGCGUGGGUAGCAAACAGG
rnacentral:rRNA from 1 species